ACUCGGCUGGCUCAGUUGGUGGAGCAUGUGACUCUUGAUCUUGGGGUUGUGAGUUCAAGCCCCAUGAUGGGUG
rnacentral:tRNA from 1 species